rnacentral:sRNA from 1 species
GUUCCCUGCCACUCAUUCACCUCAGACACAGGGUGGGCUCUGGGUUCUUCCUCAUGUGGAAAGUCGGGGCUUCAGACCAUGUCUGUCGUCAUCCAGAAGGGCUGGAGUCAAAAGUGAGGCUGGAGUUUUGCAGGAUCUCCAGACUUCCCUGUGGCCACUGAGCUGGGCUGUGCCUCUGUGGACCUCAGGGUGGUCGCUGAGCUGGGCUGUCCCUCCCUGGACCUUGAGGUGGUCCCUGAGCUGGGCUCUGCCUCUAUGGACCUUGCGGUGGUGGUCCCUGAGCUGGGCAGUGCCUCCCUGAACCUCGGGGCGAUCUCAGGCAGCCUCUGCCUCUGCUGGGAGGAGCCAUGGCCCCUGGGAGAGGCUAGAAGCCCUGGGGACACAUUGCCUUGGGUGUCCCUGACAGGGACUAUCAUGGGGGUGUUUCUGGCUGUGGGCACCAUCCCUGUCCCUUCCAGAGUGCCCUGCAUAGAGGCAGACACCCUGAAGCCUGGUGACCCCUGGGCUCUGGCUGGGAAACCCGGGUCGUGGGGACGUGAAAGCAUGAGGUGGCAGUGCCUCUGACCUCUUGCCUUUUGAAGGAGGGCCCUCCUGGACCCGGGAGCGGACCCUGGUGGCGGUGAAGCCCGAUGGCGUGCAACGGCGGCUCGUUGGGGACGUGAUCCAGCGCUUUGAGAGGCGGGGCUUCACGCUGGUGGGGAUGAAGAUGCUGCAGGUAGUGGGGCUCUGGGCUUGUGGGUGUCCCUGUGGGGACGGGGUUGGGGGAUCCUUCUCGGCCUUUCACAUCCCAGCCAGCGCUGGGGCAGGGCCUGGCUUUGGCAGUUGAAGGGGCAGGAGGGAUCUAUUCUGCGGUGGGGGUGCUGCCCAUGUUGCUGUUAUCUGCAAGGUGCCUGAGGUCAGGGCAUCACAGCUGCUGUGUUAGUGCCCACGUUUACUCUCUGCGGCUCCUCCUCCUUCCCUCAAUGCCACCCAGGCACCAGAGAGCGUCCUUGCCGAGCACUACCAGGACCUGCGGAGGAAGCCCUUCUACCCUGCCCUCAUCCGCUACAUGAGCUCUGGGCCUGUGGUGGCCAUGGUACGGCAGGGCAGGGGUGGUGGAAGGGCCUGUGGGUGUGUCUUUCCCCCCAGCAAAGGGAGGGGCCCUGGAUUGAGCCCAGGGGCCCUUGGUGUUCUCCACUUCUCCCCAACCAUUAUCUCUCGCUGCAGGUCUGGGAAGGGUACAAUGUCGUCCGUGCCUCAAGGGCCAUGAUUGGACACACCGACUCGGCUGAGGCUGCCCCAGGAACCAUAAGGGGUGACUUCAGCGUCCACAUCAGCAGGAAUGUCAUCCACGCCAGCGACUCCGUGGAGGGGGCCCAGCGGGAGAUCCAGCUGUGGUUCCAGAGCAGUGAGCUGGUGAGCUGGGCAGACGGGGCCCAGCACAGCAGCAUCCACCCAGCCUGAGGCUCAAGCUGCCCUUACCACCCCAUCCCCCACGCAGGACCAACUACCUCCGUCAGCAAGAACCCAAGCCCACAUCCAAACCUGCCUGUCCCAAACCACUUACUUCCCUGUUCACCUCUGCCCCACCCCAGCCCAGAGGAGUUUGAGCCACCAACUUCAGUGCCUUUCUGUACCCCAAGCCAGCACAAGAUUGGACCAAUCCUUUUUGCACCAAAGUGCCGGACAACCUUUGUGGUGGGGGUGGGGGGUGUCUUCACGUUAUCGUAACCUCUCCUCUAAAGGGGAGGCAUUAAAAUUCACUGUGCCCAGCGCAUGGGUGGUACACUAAUUAUGACUUCCGCCAGCUCUGAGGUAGAAAUGACGCUUUUAUGCAAGUUGUAAGGAGUUGAACAGUAAAGAUGAAGUUUUGCAC